AUCAAACUACAAUUUUCUACGAUUUUAAUCGUAGAAAUUCCAAUAAAUAUGCAUUGUAUAUCAAACAACUUUUCCCGCCUUGGUAACGAUCACAACUCCUUUCACUAACGUCUGUCUUUCUUACCGCUGCAUUUCUGAUCUUCGUCUUUCUUCUUCUGCAUGUUUUCGCUGGCUGUCUCUGUCUCCACUCUUUCUGGCGCCCUCUGCUGUCUGGCUUUUGUCAAAGCAGCCUCCAGAAGACAAAAGCUGGGUAUAUUCUCCUCUGCACUUCAGCUCAGGUCCUAAAACCCUGCCAGAGGAUGAAGGGGAGAGUGAAACAUAAUCAGACCUCAGGAAAGAGGGGCAGCUAUGAGGUCCGGACUCUUCAGACGUCCGGAAGCUAUACUGGUCGGACUUUCUCGCAACUUAAGUUUUCAUCGUCCUUUCACCCAUUCCAUAAACAACACCAAGCAAGUAGUAAUACCAAUGUCCAGAUGUAUUUAUGAGUAAUAAUGAGACUAUUUAUGUUUAUUAUUUUUGGAUUGUUUUGUGUUUCCUUAAUUGUCUAAUUUACAUACUGUGAACAUGUUUUCCGAUUUGACUCCAGACUUUGUUUUUGGUUUUUUUUGUUGACCUUAAGUUGUUAAUGCACCUUUAUCAGGUAGCAUUGUUUGUUUCGUAACUGUUAAAAAAAGGUCAUAUAUAUAUAUAUAUAAAAUACACAAACAUUGUUUUAUUUUUAUUGGUUUUCUGUAAAAUAUUACGCCAGCAAUAGUGUUCAACGUUACGAAAAUUCCAACAAGUGGCUGUUUGACUUGUGAAAUUUGGCAAUAACCAAAGUCCCAUGUUUUUUUUUUUACGUUUUAUUUUAACGUAAUAAUUAGGACUGAUAACAUAUGCUGGAUGUUACAGGGACUUACACUUUCCGCAUCACCUGAUCCUUUUUUUUUAUAUAUAUUUAAAUUUUUUUCCCGCCAAAAUCCAGUACAAAGUGAUCACGGCCUGGUUAUUAAAAGACAUGUUAAACUGAAAGAUGGGACCAAACUUAUUACGUGGGAGGCCAAAUAUGUAAAGCGACUUGUUACCAUAAUCGCAAUCAGAAAUAUUUGUUAUAGCAUUCAAUUGUAAAUCCACGUGUAUAGAAUUUGUGUGUGUGCGUGCCUAUGCAUUGAGUGUAUUUGUGGUUUUAAGCGAGCAUCUCACUUUACAAUGGAAGCGUGCAACACUGAUUCUUAUCAUGUGCAGUGGCCAGUUGCUGCUGUGUCCAAAAUAAAGGGACUACUGCAGUAAUACAUUUGUAAAGUGUAGCACACGCAUAUUUUGGUUGCCUUAAUCAUUUUAUUUGCCAACCUAAAUCCUACUAUUCACUGAUUCGGUCUUUCUUUCUGGUUCACCAAUGAUAGUGUCUUAGAGAACUUGUACAUAGAUCUUUAAAUACAUAUAAAAUCUAUUUUAAAUGUUAUUUGAAGGUUUCUUUUGUAUUUUAUUUUGCACAAGUGGCUUGCGAACGGUGUCCUAUAGGUCCACACGAACCCACUCAUUCUUCCAGCAUCCAGGAUGUUUUUCUUUCGUUCAAGUCUGUUUUUUUUGUAUCAUGUGUGUACACUUUACAGUUGGGAUUGUAAAGUCUAUACAAAGACAUAAAAUUGUAUCAAUCGCUUACUCUUCCAAGCUGUGUGCGUGUGUAUGUGUGGUCAGAAAAGCUGUGUGCCCCCCUAAAUAGCAAAAGAGCAUGAUGAAAUGUGAGUCUAUUGACAUUGAUGUACAGCAAAGACAUUUAUCUCUAUGGACAGACCACGACCAAUGGACUGAUGUGUGUACAUUUGUUCAGAUCCUUAAAUAAAUACAACUCAUGGG